CGCUGAGUAGUAGGAUUUUUCUUUGGGGCAGGAUUUUAUUCAGUCUUCCCUUGCGGCUGCGAACCUGUUACAUACUUGCUGGUCUCUGUAAGGAGACUGGAGGCUAAGCCGAGCAGAGGAGACUCACGUUCCUUGUUAAAGGGGAAGGAAAGUCUUUUUAACUUGGGGGUGCCAAAAUUUAGGCAUCCCAAGUGAUUUUAUUUACUUAACUGAUAACCCAGGCUGCUGCUCCUGUCAACAGAAAACUGCACCGGCCCAGGGUUCUUCCAGAGAACACCACAGAGUGAUUCUCUUUUUCCACUUCUUCAGACAUAACUGCACAGUGGUGUGAAAUAGCUGUUUUAUGUUGUUGUUGUUGUUAAAGUAUGGCUUUUCACUGUGUAUGCACAGCUGUGGGAAUAAAGAAUAAGCAUGAACAGGAUCCCUCUGUGUAGCUCACUGGGCCUUUGCAGUUUUCUGUUGAUAGGAGCAGCAACCCUGGGUAUAUACGAUCACUUAGAGCUGCCUAACUUUUGGUACCUUCAAGUAAAAAACAUGCUUUCUCCUAUAAAGGGAGGGGAUCUCUCACAUCUUUGCCUGUGUGAUGUGAUGAAAGCCCAAGAAGGAAGUUCUGGACUGAAGACUCCACAUUCCUUUCCUCUCCUGCUUCAUUUGCAUGUCUUCGACCCAACUGGCUGGCAAGAUUUUACACCAGAGAAUUAAUUUCAUUUAUGUUCCACAAUAUGACUUUGAUUUUAUCAUUAUAAACAAUUGAAAUGUUCUAUGCCACAAAAGAGAUCAUAUUCAGUUAAUCUAUCCAUAGAAAAAAAAAUAUAUAAAUGUUAGCACAAAAGAAACCAAAAAUAAACAUUAAGAAACAUGUUCUGCAUUUUCUAAUGAACCAUUGUGGCAGAAGAUUUAGGGGUAGAUUUAUCAAAAUGUGAGAUCAAAGCUCACGACAAAAAAAAAAACACUUUGUAUUCAUUUCUGUGAUUUUUAAGAAGCAUAAUUUUCAAUGGUUGAAAGUUACAGUGCACCAUUUGAUAAAUACACUUAUAGGAAUGACUAGAAAGGGGAUGAGUUUUUUUGUGGUGAGCUCUGAUGUCACAUUAAGGGGCCUAUCUAUUAUGCUGUGUAAAUGGAGUCUUGGCAAAAAAGGUGAUAAGGGUGAAGACACGCAGAGCUACUAGUAGCAGCUACUUGUCACAUCUACAAAAUAGACAAUAGUGAUUAUUGGCUUAGCUAAGACACUACAUGUGUUUUAGCAGAGGCAAGUCUUAGUAUUGUCUAUGGCAGGAUCAUUUUUUGGCUUUUUGUAGCUGCUACUAGUGGCCCUGUGUGUUUUCACCCUAAACGUUGUGUAAAAUAAACAGCAAAUUCCUCAACGUUUGUGCGCCUUCCAAAUUCCACAUUUGGCAGCAUUAGAAAAGUAGAAUGUAUGAUAAGUGCACCUUUUUCCUUUUGAUGUGUGGUGAAUUUGAAUGUUGUUUCUUUGCUGUAUUUUUACACAAAAGUAAAUAUUCCCUGUAGUGUCAGUGAAUCGUUCAAGUGUCCAUUGCUAAUUGAUGUGAAAGGGAUAUGCUCUUAGUUAGAGAGGAUCUGGAUAAUUGGCUAUAGAUAUUUUUCAUUUUAUUUGAUAGGACUGAGAACUCUGCUCCCUGAAUAUCGCAUAAUCAUCUUUUAGCUUUGGUAGGGAGUCAUCAGUUACCAGAGAGAGAGUCUGAUAGUGGUACAGCAAGCAAGUCUUUAUAAAGUUCAAGAAUGCCAUUGAAACAUACAUUUUAUCUUCUGGACCUGUUUUUCCAAUACUUAGCUUUUCUUGCUAACUGUUUAAACUUUUUUUCCUAGAUACAACAAUUUAUUUUUUGUGGAGGAAGAGUUAUCUUCUAUGAAAGGAAUGCUGUCUUCCAUCUCUAAAAUAGUCAUUUUGGAGUACACAAGCCUGGCCCACAAAAGCUUUGGAAGGUCGAAGAGGCUAGAACAUUACCGGGUGGAUGGAGCCAGGGCAUACCUAAUAAUGCACAGCUAAGACUUCAUGACAGAACAGUUAGAUGAAUUCAGUUACCAUACUUCUUGCUGAAUGCAGCAUUUAGUCAGUGGAUCUGAGAUUUCUCUUGAGACUUCUGCUACCUCUGUAAGUGGAUCCGUUAGUCCGCAAUGAUCCGUUGUAUUUUCGGAGGAGGAAGGCACCAUAUUGUUCCUCCAUCUUGCACGAUGACUGGGAAUUUGAAAUGGAUCAAGCAGUGCCAUCUACCUCUACAGGACUACCAAUAGAUGAGAAUUACAUCUUAAGGAGACAGAAUCUGUUACAAGAGCUGCAGUCAAACUACCCAGACUCCGAUGAGGAUACCUGUUUUCCAGACAACCCACAAAGGAAAAAUUCUUCAGAGGUCAAUGCACAGCAAAUAAUUCCUGAUCCACGUUUAGGAAAUAACAGAUGGUGUCAAUGUGGACAUUGUUUAGUUAUGUAUACAAAAAUCUGCGGAGGAUUGCAUACAGAAGCUUCACUUCAUGGAUACACGGUUUUCUCGAAAUAGGAGUACGCAUUGCUAUACCAUCAUGUGCUUUUGCUGCUGUUCGUGAAGCUUUUCCUGAUCCUAAAGAAAAAUAUAUAAUAUUCAAGAGAAAGAGAAGAUAGAAAAAGAGGAGUGGUGAGUCUCAGAAGGACUCAUGGAGAUAGCUACAUAGUUAAUCCAUUACGGUCUCCCCUACUGUGUAUCCCCCAGCAUCGAGGCUAGAGUUCGUCAUGCAACGCCAGCGUCACCUCCUGCAGCAUCCCUUUAAUCUCAAGCUUUGUUGGAAGGCAUUUCAGGGUUUUAGGAAGGAUACCCCAUAUGCAGCGUUAGCCUCUAGGCCAUCGCGGCCAUCUCGAUGAGCGUUGCGUGCGUGUGCGUAUGUGCGCGCUCAAGCACGUGAGCGUCAAUCCUCCGUCUCCUCCUCUCUCUGAUCCUCCGUCUCUAAAAACAAACAAUAAACACAUUUUGCCUAUUUAGUUGUAAUUUCACUAAGCUAAGCACUGGCUUUUGAUAUUCCUAUACAAUUAAAAAACAUUUCAUUGUGCACACAUGCUGUUUUUGUCUGUGGAAACUGUAAAAUGUCUAAAUUUAUUCUAAUUCUUUGACUAUUGUGUAGGAGUCCGUAUGGUUAACCCAGUGUUCAUAGAAAUCCCAGACUAUUUGGAAAUUCCCUGGCUAUGGCCAGCUAAGGGCUUGGCCUAACUUAGAGAUGAGAGGGGGAGUGUUUGCUUUUACAGGUUGAAGUGUUCCCAUGGUAGUUCCAGAUUUGGAUUAUUAUCUGAGUCCCUAUAAAGGAAAGUACCACAUGUUCUUCCUCUUUGGCUUCUGCAUGCUGAGAAAGGUUUAAAUGUGCUGAGAGCCUGGGCUUGGGCCCCAGUGAAGGCCUUAAGGGUGGAAACACAUGCUUAAAAUUCACAAGAGGAGGAUGGACAUAGGCAGCUGAACAAAGCACAACUACGAGGCCUAUAAAUCAUGCUGUCUAAAAAGUGGAGUGAAGCAUUAACGGUGAUGUUGCCCAUUAGCAACAAAUCAGCAAUUAGAUUUCAACAGUUAGGAA